AAUCAACGCUGGCGGCAUGCCUAACACAUGCAAGUCGCACGAGAAAGGGGCUUCGGUCCUGAGUAAAGUGGCGCACGGGUGAGUAACACGUGACUUAUCUACCCUCGAGUGGGGAAUAACCUAGGGAAACCUGGGCUAAUACCGCAUAACACUUACGAGUCAAAGCAGCAAUGCGCUUGGGGAGGAGGUCGCGGCAGAUUAGCUAGUUGGUGGGGUAAAGGCCUACCAAGGCGAUGAUCUGUAUCCGGCCUGAGAGGGCGCACGGACACACUGGAACUGAAACACGGUCCAGACUCCUACGGGAGGCAGCAGUGGGGAAUUUUGCGCAAUGGGGGAAACCCUGACGCAGCAACGCCGCGUGGAGGAUGAAGUCUCUUGGGACGUAAACUCCUUUCGAUCGGGACGAUAAUGACGGUACCGAUAGAAGAAGCCCCGGCUAACUUCGUGCCAGCCGCCGCCGUAAUAC
rnacentral:rRNA from 1 species